GGGCCCGCACAAGCGGUGGAGCAUGUGGCUUAAUUCGAGGCAACGCGAAGAACCUUACCUGGUCUUGACAUGCCCGUCAUAGUUUUCCGAAAGGAAUUCGUCGGUUCGGCCGGACGGUGCACAGGUGCUGCAUGGCUGUCGUCAGCUCGUGUCGUGAGAUGUUCGGUUAAGUCCGGCAACGAGCGCAACCCUCGUUCCUAGUUGCCAGCGGGUAAUGCCGGGGACUCUAGGAAGACAAACCUCGUGUAGAGGUGGGAAGGUGGGGACGACGUCAAGUCAGUAUGGCCCUUACGACCAGGGCUGCACACGUGCUACAAUGCUCGGUACAAUGGGAUGCAACGCCGCGAGGUUGAGCCAAUCCAUAAAACCGAGCCCAGUUCGGAUAGGAGUCUGCAACUCGACUCCUUG
rnacentral:rRNA from 1 species